rnacentral:tRNA from 1 species
GCCUCGGUAGCUCAGCCCGGUAGAGCGAGUGACUUGUAAUCACUAGGUCGGGGGUUCAAAUCCCCCCCGGGGCU